GACGAACGCUGGCGGCGUGCUUAACACAUGCAAGUCGAACGGAAAGGCCCUGCUUUUGUGGGGUGCUCGAGUGGCGAACGGGUGAGUAACACGUGAGUAACCUGCCCUUGACUUUGGGAUAACUUCAGGAAACUGGGGCUAAUACCGGAUAGGAGCUCCUGCUGCAUGGUGGGGGUUGGAAAGUUUCGGCGGUUGUGGAUGGACUCGCGGCUUAUCAGCUUGUUGGUGGGGUAGUGGCUUACCAAGGGUUUGACGGGUAGCCGGCCUGAGAGGGGGACCGGGCACAAUGGGACUAAGAGACGGACCAGAAUCCUACCGGAGGCAACAGGCGGGAGUAUUGCACAAUGGGCGGAAGCCUGAUGCAGCAACGCCGCGUGCGGGAUGACGGCCUUCGGGUUGUAAACCGCUUUCGCCUGUGACGAAGCGUGAGUGACGGUAAUGGGUAAAGAAGCACCGGCUAACUACGUG
rnacentral:rRNA from 1 species